AUUGAACGCUGGCGGCAGGCCUAACACAUGCAAGUCGAACGGUAACAGGAAACAGCUUGCUGUUUCGCUGACGAGUGGCGGACGGGCGAGUAAUGUCUGGGAAACUGCCUGAUGGAGGGGGAUAACUACUGGAAACGGUAGCUAAUACCGCAUAACGUCGCAAGACCAAAGAGGGGGACCUUCGGGCCUCUUGCCAUCAGAUGUGCCCAGAUGGGAUUAGCUAGUAGGUGGGGUAACGGCUCACCUAGGCGACGAUCCCUAGCUGGUCUGAGAGGAUGACCAGCCACACUGGAACUGAGACACGGUCCAGACUCCUACGGGAGGCAGCAGUGGGGAAUAUUGCACAAUGGGCGCAAGCCUGAUGCAGCCAUGCCGCGUGUAUGAAGAAGGCCUUCGGGUUGUAAAGUACUUUCAGCGGGGAGGAAGGGAGUAAAGUUAAUACCUUUGCUCAUUGACGUUACCCGCAGAAGAAGCACCGGCUAACUCCGUG
rnacentral:rRNA from 1 species